rnacentral:rRNA from 1 species
GCCAACAGUAAUAGCACGUUGAAUACACCAGUUUCCAGUGGAUCACUGAAGUUGAGCGACGUUGAGCGUGGUUGAUAUCCGGAUGGGUGACAAUCUGACCAUUCGCGUGCUGCUGACA